AGAAAACAAACACAAAUCUCAUUUUAAAGAGUCCUUUCACGGCACCCCACAGCUAGUUAUUCAAAGUUAUUCAGGUGUGAUUAUAUUUGAGACAACCCUUUUGAAGCCAUAAAGCAGGUUCACUUUUGAAGCUAACUCUAAGUUCUUCAUGCCAGGUGGGGACUAGGGUCAUGAUCAUGUCCCUGAUUUGAUUGACUGGAACUUGCUUAAUUUCUUGAUGAGAUAGAUGAACUCUUUUUAAAGUGAUUCCUCAGAAAAGAAAGUUAUAGAACAAUUUUUUUGAACUUUCCUUAAAUGUUCCCUAGCAGUUUCUGUUUAGAAAGAUGCCAUUAAAAAGGUAGGUCACAGUGCUUGUUUAAGAGAUGAACAUGGCCAAACUUACCCCAUUUAGGCCUGUUCUGAUACUAAUCAUGUAUGUCAUUUCAUUGGUUUAUGGUUCAUUUUGAGGUAGCUUACCCCAUUUAGGCCUGCUCUGAUACUAAUUGUGUGUGUCAUUUCAUUGGUUUGUGGUUCAUUUUGAGGUAGCUGGAAGCAAGGGUUUUUUGGCUAACAUUUUAAAAAAACUUAAUAGGUAGAUAUUUUAGAGCGUAUGGAACAAUUUGAUACAUUAUUUGUGGAAAAUUCACCUAAUUUUAAACUACAUUGACUUAAAACAUUCCUUGAGUCAUUACUUUCAAGGUCAUAAUUUGCAUCAUGGAGUACCAGGCUUUGAACAAAUUUUCAGCUUCAUCUUUUUUUCCCUUUAAUGAAUUUUUUAAAAUUCAUCCAAUUUAUAGGGGAUAAUUUGUACACCAAUAUUAUGCAAUAAAAAUAUAGGUCACCAUGCUUGUUCAAGAGCUGAAGACCAUCCUACAUCUUUACCUGGUUCAUUUAUUGAAAAACAAUACCAUGUUCUUGGAAUGCAUGCACAUUUAUUUCAUUUUGUGAUUUUUUUUUCACAGUACAAGAUGCACAGUGCAGUAGUGAGGAAUCACCUUAAAUGACAUUCUGAUCAAGGAAGGGGAGGCAUGUUACCAGUACUACAUGGGUGUAAAAAACAAGGAUUUAAAAUUAGGGGAAAACAUCAUCAGAAACCAAUGCUUUAGAUGAAGGCCCAAGUCUCUCCUUUCCACCGGAGGCUGAAGCCUUCUGUUGAAUGGCCAAAACACCUGGGCUUUCUUUCUGGGAUUGGAGUCUGUGAGUUUUUAUAAAAAUUAUGAUUUAAACAGAAUAAAAAAGUGAUAAUACAAUCAA